AGUGGGAUCCACGUUAUCGGAAGCACUACAUAAUGGGGCCAAUCCAAACUCUCUCUCUCAGUCUGCCAUGGGAGUAGCUUCCUAACUAAGCCAAAGACUCAGAUCAAUCUCCAGUCAACGCAGAAGUAAACGACAUCUCAUUCAGAACUCUCCCCAAAACACUAACCUCAGCUGAUUCUAAACCAAAAUGUUCCCGACAAACUAGGCAUACGUUUCUUCUUCUUCUUCUUCUUCUUCUUCUUCUUGAGGUUCUCUGUUUCCUCCUGUAUUUUCCAAUUUUCUUGAGAGAAGUUGAAGUUAGUAAGAGAUGACGAGCAGGACAGGAUUGCCGGUGGGAUACAGAUUCCACCCAACCGAUUUAGAACUCGUCAACCACUACCUGAGGCUCAAAAUGCUCGGCAAGGACUCCCAGGUUAGCGACAUCGCUGAAGUUGAUCUCUGCAAGUGCGAGCCUUGGCAGUUACCCAAUUUAUCAGCGAUCAAGUCAGAUGACCAAGAAUGGUUCUUCUUUUGUGUCAAGCACCCCAACAGUAACCGGACGAAAAGGGCGACGGAGUCCGGCUACUGGAAACCCACCGGUCAGGAUCGGAAGAUCAGGGUUAAAGGCACCGUGAUUGCUACAAAGAAGACUCUGGUGUUCUAUAAAGGUCGUGUUCCUAAUUCGGUCAGGACCAAUUGGGUUAUCCACGAGUAUCACUCAGCUGCCACUCUUCCUCACCAGAGGCCCUUCGUCCUCUGUCGCUUAAAGAAAAAAACAGAUGAGAAAUCAACCUGUGCUGAAGGCGAGGCAAGCAGCUAUACUGCUUCUGAUUUUGAAAUUCAGCUUCUAGAUGAUCCAACUCAAGAGGUAUAUAUUCAACCAGAAGCAAACUUGUCACUCUUUGAGGCGAACUUUCAGCCACUGGAUUAUGACUUCUCUUACCCACUGCAAUUUCCAGAUUACAAUUCUCAGGGGCUCUCUUCCUUGGGUACCACAGUUACCAAUAGCCAUAAUGAUGAACGCAAUAGGAUGCCAUUUCAGUCUGACGCUGAAGUGGAAGAUGAAGUGUUCGUGAAUUCACUUUUUGUUGAUCAUGACGAAUUCUCCUGUGAAGAAAUUAUUCACCACAACGGCUCCAUGGCACCAGAGCCAUUGGGAAAGGUGUACUAUGCCGAUGUUGGAUUCAGCAGUGACACAGACACUGACGCAGCUCAAACACGGUAUCGAUAUGUUGUAGGUCCAGAAGAAUACGGGCACAGAGAAGGAGGAAAUGGUUUCCUUCAUACUAAUUCCUUGAGACUUGAUGCUUCCCAUCGCAACGUAGCUGCAGAUACGUCUCAUAAGAUCUGUUCCAUUACAUUAGCCAGAUCAGAAUCUCCUCAAAAAGUAAGAACCUUCACACCUCAACGUCAACGAAGAUCCCGCAACUUUGUAGCACAGAGAGCUGCUCAGGGAAGAAGCCAAUCACAGAGGAACAGUUCUCGCAAAGCAGUAUCGCAAGACAAGGCCAAAGAUGCUUCAAGACACAUUUCCAUUGUCGAUCCGACUCAGAAGGAAAAGUCCAUUACAGACUCUGACAAAGCGCCGAAAAUGGCUCCAGUCACCAAUGCAAAGAAGAGUUUGAAGUCAACAUCGGGUGGCUCAGUUGGCAGCAAUCGAAAGGGUUAUUUCACUUUCCAAGAGACAUCUCUACCAUGCCACGAUUCUAGUCCACCCUCCGUGUAUUUUGUCAAACUACUAUUUGGCAUAAUUUUGUUCCUGGUCGUUAUUCGGGAAGUGUUGUUAUAUGGGAACUGGUGAUAAACUUCAUCAAGAGUUUUUUGUGUUCAUUUCACCUGAGAAAUGCUACACUUACCAGGAAAAAUAUUCCAGCCAAGGAUCUUAAUCUGUUGGUGGAAGCGAUGGAGGCAAGCGGUAAAUGAAGAACAUGCUGUUAGAUAUUAGAUUGUAAAGUUGAGGAGUUAGGAUCUAGGAGAAUAUUAUAUGCUUGUACUUCCAAAACUUUUCUGCAUUUAUUUUCUAAUCCAUAACAAGAAUAUUUUUGAUA